rnacentral:SRP_RNA from 1 species
GCUGGGCAUAAUGGCACCUGCCUAUAGUCCAGCUACUCAAGAAACUUAGGCAGGAGGUUCACUUCAACCCAGAAGUUCUAGGGUAUAGUGUACUACGCCCCCAUUGUGUCCACGCUAUGUUUGGCAUCACUAAGGCAACCUCUCAGGAGCAGGGGACCACGAGGUUGUUUAAGGAGGUAUGAACCAGCAAAGGUUGGAAAUGGUACAGGUCCAGACUCUUGUGCUCAUCAGUAGAGGGAUGGCACCUGUGACUAACCACGGCACUUCAUCCAGCCUGAGCAACACAGGAAGAACUUGUCU